UACGAAGGGGGCUAGCGUUGCUCGGAAUCACUGGGCGUAAAGCGCACGUAGGCGGCUUGUUAAGUCAGGGGUGAAAUCCCGGGGCUCAACCUCGGAACUGCCUUUGAUACUGCAAGUCUCGAGUCCGAUAGAGGUGAGUGGAAUUCCUAGUGUAGAGGUGAAAUUCGUAGAUAUUAGGAAGAACACCAGUGGCGAAGGCGGCUCACUGGAUCGGUACUGACGCUGAGGUGCGAAAGCGUGGGGAGCAAACAGG
rnacentral:rRNA from 1 species